rnacentral:rRNA from 1 species
AUUGAACGCUGGCGGCAUGCCUUACACAUGCAAGUCGAACGGUAACAGGUUAAGCUGACGAGUGGCGAACGGGUGAGUAAUGUAUCGGAACGUGCCCAGUCGUGGGGGAUAACUGCUCGAAAGAGCAGCUAAUACCGCAUACGACCUGAGGGUGAAAGCGGGGGAUCGCAAGACCUCGCGCGAUUGGAGCGGCCGAUAUCAGAUUAGGUAGUUGGUGGGGUAAAGGCCUACCAAGCCUACGAUCUGUAGCUGGUCUGAGAGGACGACCAGCCACACUGGGACUGAGACACGGCCCAGACUCCUACGGGAGGCAGCAGUGGGGAAUUUUGGACAAUGGACGCAAGUCUGAUCCAGCCAUGCCGCGUGCUGGAAGAAGGCCUUCGGGUUGUAAACCGCUUUUGUCAGGGAAGAAAAGGUUCUGGUUAAUACCUGGGACUCAUGACGGUACCUGAAGAAUAAGCACCGGCUAACUACGUGCCAGCCGCCGCCGUAACAC